rnacentral:rRNA from 1 species
GCAGGCUUAACACAUGCAAGUCGAGGGGUAACAGGGUUUUCGGACUGCUGACGACCGGCGCACGGGUGAGUAACGCGUAUGCAACCUACCUUUAACAUUGGGAUAGCCCGGGGAAACUCGGAUUAAUACCGGAUAAAAUAUAUUUAUCGCAUGAUAAAUAUCUUAAAGAUUUAUCGGUUAAAGAUGGGCAUGCGUGCCAUUAGGUAGUUGGUGAGGUAACGGCUCACCAAGCCCGCGAUGGCUAUGGGGUCUAAAAGGAUGGUCCCACACACUGGUACUGAGACACGGACCAGACUCCUACGGGAGGCAGCAGUGAGGAAUAUUGGUCAAUGGGCGCAAGCCUGAACCAGCCAUGCCGCGUGCAGGAAGACAGCCUUACAGGUUGUAAACUGCUUUUAUACGGGAAGAAUGUAUUUUAUUUAUAAGAUUUUGACUGUACCGUAUGAAUAAGCAUCGGCUAACUCCGUGCCAGCAGCCGCGGUAAUACGGAGGAUGCAAGCGUUAUCCGGAUUUAUUAGGUUUAAAGGGUGUGCAGGCGGAGAAUUAAGUCAGAGGUGAAAUCGUUAGGCUCAACCUAACCACUGCCUUUGAUACUGGUUCCCUUGAGUAUAGUUGAGGUAGGCGGAAUGUGUAAUGUAGCGGUGAAAUGCAUAGAUAUUACCCAGAACUCCGAUUGCGAAAGGCAGCUUACUAAACUAUAACUGACGCUGAUGCACGAAAGCGUGGGUAGCGAACAGGAUUAGAUACCCUG